CUCUAUCAUCUGCCUACCUGUUUAGCCACCCAGAACAUAUCCUAAAGAUUGUGACCCUACGCCCAGGCAGGACUGUAAAUCCACGCUAUGUGCCUGUGACUGAUUUGGGAUUUGGAUUUCUGAUUUGGCUGAGAGAUGUGCAAAAACCUCAAGUAGUCAACAGCUCCCUACUGGCUAUGCAUCUGAGGGGCUCAAGAACAUUGUUUAUUCCAGCAAGUGUCUGGAAUACAUUAUACUCGAUAAAUUGGCUCCUGCUACUCCCGUUUUGGAGAAUAUGAAGAAUUUGUAUACUGUGCUGAAAUAAAUGUACUUUGCCCAAAUAACAAUUUUCCUUAAAAGAAAAUUCUAAAUAUGACUCUAUCGUCUGAAUCUAGGAUUUCCAAUAUUUUAAACACUUGGCAUUUCUGAAAGAGUAAUAAUGAACUAAUUCUCCACACCGUCAAACUCAGAAACUGGUUCAAAAUUUAGAUCUGUUUUUAUCCAGGGGCCAUAUGAAUCGAGGUGUCCAGAAGUUGAAAAAAUAAAAUUGGGUUCAAAGUUGUUCUCUCUCUCUCUCUUUCUCUCUCUCUCUCUCUCUCUAUA
ensembl:lncRNA